UUGCCCUAACAGAAAUAGAACACAAGAGUGACAUAGCUGUCCCUCCUACUCCCCUGGCCGUCCCUCCUUCCCACGCGGCCUCCCUCCUCCCCCUGUGGCCCUGCUCUGUGUGGAGUGCUGCAGGGGUUGCUGUGAGGCCGAAGGAGACAAGGAAGGCGGCACCCCUGGGAAUGCGCACAGAAUUACAGGCUUCACGAGAGGGGCACGGCCAGCCGCGCCUUACAGACAGUGUCAGCCAGGCGCUUCCCUCCACGCGACCUCGCUGCCUCCUUGCAGGGCAGAUGCCUCCGGGUCUCAGACUGUCCUGUGUCUCCCCGUGGGUCCUGGCAUGGUAGACACUCAGCUGUUCAGGCUGGUUCCCCUCCGCCCCAUCGCCCUACAGCAGUUGACCAGGUGUGUGUCCUCGGUGAGCUGUGGACAGCCAGCCUGUAGGUGAGGGCAGCGGGACCGUAAGAGGGAACAUGUGAAUGGCGCAGAAAGCAACGCUGUGGAAGCCUGGCUCGGGCCCUGUGCAUUUCCUGCGUUUGCAGACCCUGGGUGUGCAGGUGCCAGACCAGCAGGUAGUAACCACCACGGUGAGAACAGCUCACCCAACAGGGCUUGCCGGCUGGGCCGCCCGCGCAGAAGCCCCCCAGUAACCCCUGAGCUCCCCAGCACCCCAUCAGCC